CCACGGCUAAUUCCGUGCCAGCAGCCGCGGUAAUACGGGAGUGGCAAGCGUUAUCCGGAAUUAUUGGGCGUAAAGCGUCCGCAGGCGCCCUCAAGUCUGCUGUUAAAAAGUGGAGCUUAACUCCAUCAUGGCAGUGGAAACUGUUGGGCUUGAGUGUGGUAGGGGCAGAGGGAAUUCCCGGUGUAGCGGUGAAAUGCGUAGAUAUCGGGAAGAACACCAGUGGCGAAGGCGCUCUGCUGGGCCAUCACUGACGCUCAUGGACGAAAGCCAGGGGAGCGAAAGGGAUUAGAUACCCCUGUAGUCCUGGCCGUAAACGAUGAACACUAGGUGUCGGGGGAAUCGACCCCCUCGGUGUCGUAGCCAACGCGUUAAGUGUUCCGCCUGGGGAGUACGCACGCAAGUGUGAAACUCAAAGGAAUUGACGGGGGCCCGCACAAGCGGUGGAGUAUGUGGUUUAAUUCGAUGCAACGCGAAGAACCUUACCAGGGUUUGACACCCUGCGAAUCUCUUGGAAACAGGAGAGUGCCUUCGGGAACGCAGUGACAGGUGGUGCAUGGCUGUCGUCAGCUCGUGUCGUGAGAUGUUGGGUUAAGUCCCGCAACGAGCGCAACCCACGUCUUUAGUUGCCAGCAUUUAGUUGGGCACUCUAGAGAGACUGCCGGUGAUAAACCGGAGGAAGGUGUGGAUGACGUCAAGUCAUCAUGCCCCUUACAUCCUGGGCUACACACGUACUACAAUGCUACGGACAAAGGGCAGCAAGUUCGCGAGGACAAGCAAAUCCCAUAAACCGUGGCUCAGUUCAGAUCGUAGGCUGCAACUCGCCUACGUGAAGGCGGAAUCGCUAGUAAUCGCAGGUCAGCAUACUGCGGUGAAUACGUUCCCGGGCCUUGUACACACCGCCCGUCACACCAUGGAAGUUGGCCACGCCCGAAGCCGUUACUCCAACCCUUGUGGAGGAG
rnacentral:rRNA from 1 species